UACAGAGGGUGCGAGCGUUAAUCGGAAUUACUGGGCGUAAAGCGUGCGUAGACGGUUAUUUAAGUCGGGUGUGAAAUCUCCGAGCUUAACUCGGAAACUGCCAUUGAUACUAUAGGUCUUGAAUUAUCUGGAGGUGAGCGGAAUAUGUCAUGUAGCGGUGAAAUGCUUAGAUAUGACAUAGAACACCAAUUGCGAAGGCAGCUCACUACGGAUAUAUUGACACUGAGGCACGAAAGCGUGGGGAUCAAACAGG
rnacentral:rRNA from 1 species